rfam:Schistosoma mansoni, Puerto Rico, WGS project CABG01000000 data, contig: 0071
CAAUGCUGAAGAGUCCCGCAAUAGGACGAAACGGCCGUCCAGUGC